rnacentral:rRNA from 1 species
UAGCAAUACAAGGCUGAGCUAGUGGCGAACGGGUGCGUAACACGUGAGCAAUCUGCCUUAAAGUGGGGGAUAGCUCGCCGAAAGGCGAAUUAAUACCGCAUGUGGUUGCAGAACCAAAGCCGGGGAAACCUGGCGCUUGUAGAGGAGCUCGCGGCCUAUCAGCUUGUUGGUGAGGUAACGGCUCACCAAGGCCUCGACGGGUAGCUGGUCUGAGAGGACGACCAGCCACACUGGAACUGAGACACGGUCCAGACACCUACGGGUGGCAGCAGUCGAGAAUUUUUCUCAAUGGGGGAAACCCUGAAGGAGCGACGCCGCGUGGAGGAUGAAUGCUUUCGGGUUGUAAACUCCUGUCAUUUGGGAACAAAGCCUUACGUUAACUGCGUGGAGGUUUGAUAGUACCAGAAGAGGAAGAGACGGCUAACUCUGUGCCAGCAGCCGCGGUAAUACAGAGGUCUCAAGCGUUGUUCGGAUUCAUUGGGCGUAAAGGGCGCGUAGGCUGCGGGGUAAGUCGGGUGUGAAAUCUCAGAGCUCAACUCUGAAACUGCACUCGAUAUUGCUCUGCUAGAGGACUGGAGAGGAGAUUGGAAUUCACGGUGUAGCAA